UUUCUCUCUGUCUCUCUCUCUCUCACUGUCUGUAACUCUACCUGUCAAAUAAAUUUUAAAAAAUUUAAAAAUUUAAAAAAAAGUAAUUUAUAAAGCUCCUUUCUGGCUGAGGGCACUACCUUCCUCAGUCGGCUUCACUCAUUCAUCGUUUCCACCACCAGCUGAGAGCUCCCUUGUGGGCAGCCCAUUGCUCAGACAGGAAAAGUAGUCACUGGACCUGGUAGAGGACAACUGAGGGUGGGCGAGGACUGAGCUCACUCCCUGUCUUGGCUACCCCUGCUCAGCCAGGCCCUUGGAGCUGGCUGCAGUCACAUUGUGCCUGCGACAGAUGACAAAUCAGUACAAGUUGUAGGACUGCAGGGUCUCUGGGGGAGCAGUUGAAACCAGAAAUCAUAUCGCAGAACGCCGAGGGUAUGUACAACUGGAUGCGGGUGUUAGCACAAAACUGACUCAACCUGCAGAGGACAAGCAAAGGCCCAGAGAGCGGGCCAAGACUGAGCCGGCUUGAAAGAGUUAGGCGAGGGCAGGGGCAGUUCCUGUCAGGAGUCUGGGGCGGGGGCAGCCCCUUGGCCUUCUGGGAUCAUCCCAUCACCAAACACUGAAUCGUGGGCUUGUGGGGCUCUGAGCUGUAGCUCCUGUCACACCUUCUCCCAUGUUGCUGGAUAUCUUCACUCCUCUUUUCUCAGUCUCUCUCUUCCACUCUCUCUCUUCUGUCUCUUGCAUCAGUUUUAUUGAGGUGUAAUUGACAUGCGAUGAACUGCACACAAUGUAAAGUUCAUAAUUUUGCAGCUUUCAAGCAUACUGCCAAACCAUCAUCAAACUCAGGAACAUAGCCCCCACCCCCUGGGGUUUCCCGCUGCCCCCUUUCUUUCCAAAUCGAUCCUGCUCUUCUCUGUUCCUCCCCACAAGCCUCAGGAACCACGGACGUGAAUUUUGUCACUACAGAUUCGUUUGCAUUUCCUAACAUGUCACAUACAUGGAAUCAUCCAGUAGGCACUAAUUUUUGUCAAGCUUCUUUCACUCAGUGUAAUGAUUUUGAGAUUCACGUGUGUUGUUGUACUGAGAGUUCACUCCUUUUUAUUGCUCAGUAAUAGUCCGUUGUAUGAGUGUAGCACACUGUGCUUCUCCAUUUUUUUUUUUUUUUUUUGCUGAUGGGCAUAUGGGUUGUUUCUAGUUUUUGGUGUUGUGGUGCAACAGGUUAAGCUGUGCUUGGGACCCCCGCAUUCUAUUUUGCAGUGCCAGGGAGGGAGACCCACCUCGGCCUCUGUUUCCUAACGCACAGGGGAGGCAGCAGAUGAUGCUUCAAGCACCGAGUUCCUAUCCCCCGUAAGGGGGAUCCGGAUGGAGCGCCUGGCUCCUGGCUUCGGCUUGCCCAGCCCUGGCUGUUGUGGGCAUUUGGCAAGUGAACCAGCAUAUAGGACAUCUCUCUUUGUUUGUCUGUGUGUCUUUCUCUCUCUGCUGCUUUGCCUUUCAAAUAAUUAAAAAAAUAAACGUUAAAAACAAAUGAAAUUUCUGCAAGUAUUGUCAUACGAGGCUUUUUUGGGCUUAGGUGUAGAAACAUAUUGAACUUUUGGAGAAAGUGCCGUGCUGUUUUUCCAGGUGGUUGUACAAGUCCCAGUCUUUCCACACCCUUGCAAUCGCUUCUACCGCCAAGCUUUGUGAUUUUCAGCCAUUCCCAGGGGUCUGUUUUUAUAUACGGAUAUCCAAUUAUUUCAGUGUGAUUUAUGAAAAAUUCUAUCUUUACUGAGUUGCCCUCACAUUUUUGUCAAAAACCAUUUGUCCCUAUGUACUUGAGUCAUUAAUUCUUUUUUAAAAAGAAGAUGCGUGACCAUGCCAUAAUCAUAGCCUGAUGAGCCGUAUCCGUGACGCACGAGGAUUUCAACCUUCCCAGCCCUGGGUGCGUUCUGGGGAUUUGUGGCUGGGUCCAGAUUCACAACGUGGACCCCGCACUGCCUGAGGGUGGGGAUGGGGUCAUCCCAUAACACCAGGGGGUGGUCUUCUCCUGGAUUGUUCUCUAGAUUCUGAUGUCACUGAAGGACUGGCUAGACUCUGCUCUCUGACUGAUGGAUCUGUCCUCCCAGCCACGCUCACUGCCACGUCUGGCUUUUCACUGGGUUCUGUCUAGUCUUCUUCUCUGUCCUAAGCUGAAGCCUUAAUGACUUUGGUCAAUCUAGCCCGGGUCUGAAAUCCGAGCCUCUUCCACCAAGCAGGGUGGACCUGGGAGCACACCAGUCAAAGGUCGCAUGAGAAGCCACCUUAACUGAAGUGGCCUGGUCUCCUCAGAGAAACAUAAAGUAUUCAACUCAUUGGCUUAAAAAUGUUUUAUUGAGAUGUAAUUCACAUGCCAUAAAAUUUACCCUUUAAGAGUGCACGUUUCAGUGGCUUUUACUGUAUUCAGAAAGUUGCGAAACCAUCACCAUUAUCUAAUUCCAGAACAUUUUCAUCACCUUAAAAAAAAAAAAAAUCCCCACACCCAUUAAGCAGUCACUGCCCAUUUCUCCUACCUCCUGCCCCUGGCAACCACUAAUCCACUUUCUGUCUCUCCGGAUUUGACUCUUCCGGACAUUUGAAUAAGGGAACCACACAGCAGCCUCUGGGCCUGGCUUCUCCACGUAGCACGCUGUUUUCAAGGUCCAUCUGUGUUGUAGCAUAUGAAAACACUUCACUCCUGUUGAUGGCUGAAUAAUAUUCAGUGUGUAGAUACACCACAUUUGGUUUAUCCAUUCAUCAACUGAUGGUCAUUUGUCUGUUUUUUUCAACUUUUUUUUUUUCCUACCGUAAUGUUUUUAUGAGCAUUUGUGUAUGAUUUUUUUUUAAGAUUUAUUUAUUUCACAGAUAGAGUAACUGAGAGAGUCAGAGACAGAGUGAGAGAUCUUCCGUCUGCUGGUUCAAUCCUCAAAUGCCUCCAACAGCUAGGACUGGGCCAGGCAGAAGGCAGGAGCUGGGACCUCCAUCUGGUCUCCCACAUGAUCUGCAGGGACUCAGGUGCUUGAGCUCUCGUCUGCUGCUCCCCAGGUACACGAGCAGAGGCUGGAUUGGAAGUGGAACAGCCGGGACUUGAACCAGCACUUUGAUAUAGUCUGGGGGCUGCGCCACAGCACCCGCCACUGUGUGUGAACUUUUAUUUGGACACGUUUUCAGUUCUUUUAUACACCGAGGAGUUUAACUGAUGGGUCAUGGUAACUCUAUAUUGAACUUUCUGAUACACCGCCAGACUAUUUCCCAAAGUGUCUGCGCUGUUUUCCAACCUUACCAGCACUGUGUGUGAGUACCAGUUUUUCCACAUUCUCUCCAACACCUCUUAGUUCCUUUUGCUUGGUAGCCAUCCUGGUGGGUGUGAAGCAGUAUGUCAUUGUGGCAUUGAUCUGUCUUUCCCUAAUGACUCCGGAUGUUGAACAUCUUUUCAUGUAAAUAUUGCCACUUGCAUAUUUUCUCUGAAAAAAUGUCUGUUCAAAUUCGUUGCCCAGUUUUUAACUAGGGUGUCCUAUUGUUGUUCAGUUGUAAGAGUUUGCAUAUUAUGGAUACUAGUCUCAUCAGAGGGGCCGGCGCUGUGGUGCAGCAGGUUGGCGCCCUGGCCUGAAGUGCUGGCAUCCCAUAUGGACGCCGGUUCAAGUCCUGGCUGCUCCAUUUCUGAUUCAGCUCUUUGCUAUGGCCUGGGAAAGCAGUGGAAGAUGGCCCAAGUCCUUGGGCCCCUGCACCUGCGUGGGAGACCCAGAGGAAGCUCCUGGCUGCUGGCUUCGGAUUGGCGCAGUUUCGGCUGUUGCGGCCAAUUGGGGAGUGAACCAGUGGAUGGAAGACCUCUCUCUCUCUCUGCCUCUCCUCUCUCUCUCUCUCUAUGUGUGUAACUCUGACUUUCAAAUAAAUAAAUAAAUCUUAAAAAAAUAGCCUCAUCAGAAAUAUGGUUUACAGGGGCUGGUUCUGUGGCAUAGUGGGUAAAGCCGCUUCCUGCAGUGCCGGCAUCCCAAUGGGCGCUGGUUUGAGUCCUGGCUGCUUCUCUUCCAAUCCAGCUCUCUGCUGUGGCCUGGGAAAGCAGUAGGAGCUGGCCCAAGUUCUUGGGCCCUUGCACCCAUGUGGGAGACCUGGAAGAAGCUCCUAGUUCCUAGCUUCAGUUCGGCACAGCUCCGGCCAUUGCGGCCAACAGGGGAGUGAACCAGCAGAUGAAAGAUUCUCUCUCUCUCUGCCUCUCCUUUUCUCUCUGUGUAACUCUUUCAAAUAAAUAAAUAAAUCUUUAAAAAUAAGAAAUCUUAAAAAAAGGUUUACAAAUCUUUCUCAUCCCAUAGGUUCUUUUCACUUUCUUCAUGUCUUUUGAAGCACAGAAGUUUUUUAUUUUAAUGAAGUCCAAAUUAUACACUUCUUUGUUAUAAUCAUCUGCUUUCUACAUUAUGCACAAAGAUCAUGAAGCUUUCCUAUCAAGCACAAUAAAUAAUAAGCGGCACAUCUCAAUUCCAUGUUAUGGCAAUUAAAAAGUUUUUUAAAAGAUUUUAAUUUUUUGUUUUCACUACAUUUGAAAGACAGUGAUACAUAUUCAGCCUGUGUGUGUGUGUGUAUGUGUAUGUGUAUGUGUCUGUGUGUGUGUAUGUGUGUGUGUGUGUGUGAGAGAGAGAGAGAGAGAGAUCUUCCAUCUGCUGGUUCACUCUCCAAAUGACCACAAAAGCCAGGGCUGAGCCAAGCUGAAGCAGGAGCCUCAAACUCCAUCUGGGUCUCCUAUGUGGGUGGCAGGGACCCAGGGACUUGAACCAUCAUCUGCUGCCUCCAAGGAAGCUGGAUUGGAAGCAGAGGGGCUAGGACUCAAACCGGGCGUUCCAAUAUGGGAUUCAGGCAUCCCAAGAGGCACCUUACGCGCUGUGCCAAACGCUUGCCUCCAUGUUGUGAAAUUUCAGGGGUGGAAUUGAUAUGGGGGGCCAGGAGAAGGUAGGGGAGACUCUUUGCUUGGAUUUUAGAAUUCAAAAUAAGGUUGAAUAUUAGCCACAGCCUCUGAGCACGAAGCACCCAGUUUUCAAGGAGAGCUAGCUCUUUGGGAACGGCUCGAACCUUAAAACUUACAGUAGUUUUGCAUGGGGUAAAGCCACAGCUCCUAGUAGGAGUUCAAUCCCUGGAUUGCCCUCCAGGACGGGUGAGGAGGGGGAGGCUGUGUCAGACCGAAGGGAUGGGACUGCUGGGGGUAAGCCCGAGGGAGGGGUGCAAGGAGAGUGACACCUGAGGGAGGAGGAGGAGGAAGCAGGUCGGUCGGCCCAGGGGAGCGCUCAGACCCGCGGCGGAGCCCCUGCCAGCCAACAGGCAGCUUGGGGCAAACAGGGCUCCAUGUGAGUGGCAAAGGGCGAGGCUCGCUCAGCCCUGGCUGGGAACUGUCCCCAAGAAGACCAAGAAGACCAGGGCUCAAAGCCUGGGGAGGCGGGAGAGCUGAAGGAACUCCCUGCGGGGGCAGCUAAACCUAACCCUGGGCAGCGAGGCAGCAGGUGCUCUGGAGAAGGGGCGUGGUCUCUGUCUCUGGGCGUGGUCUCUGCCUCUGCCUGCCGUGCACCAGGACUGCAGGCUAGAGUUCCAGGGACACGCGCGGCCUUAAGGCAACCGCGCUGCCUGGUUUCCUCCUGGUUGACGCGGAGAAAAUGUCCCCUUGGCGGGCUGUGGGAGGCUUGGGGCAGAAGCGGGUGAGCAGAGUGCGGGGCGCAGCACAGGCAUCUGGCGAGGGUGCGCGUUUCCCUCUCCCCCAGAUGGAAAUCAGCCAGGGGAACAUUCUGUUCCGCUAGCCGGUCCCGCCCUGCUCGGUGUAGACUUCAUUUCCUGUCGUCUUCCAGGAGGCAGCCGAGCCCCAGGGCCGCCGCCUUAGCCUCUGGCUGUGCUGCCCCUGUGCCCCAGGGACUGAGAAGGCCCCUGGCUUGUCCCUCUCCCGACUUGCUCAGCCUGGGGGACUCCAAGACCUCCCCGGCUGCUGGCCUUCCCAGAGGGGUACUGCUGGUCAGUGUUAGGAUGGGGAGGGGAGGGAGGCUUCCUGGAAUGUUCUAGAAGUAAGCAAAUUGCACCAUCUCCUCCAGCUGCCUGGGAGUGCAUUCCACGGAGGAUUCCUGUAAGCAGCAGCAUCGUGUUCCUCUUUCUAAGUGCCUCAUUAAAAGCCCGGAGACAGACUCCCCCUGCUUCCCUCAGCCUGGCGGGAGAGACUGCGCCUACCCGGGAGGGGGCAGGAGGUGCCCUGGGCCAGCCAUUACCCCCCACUGGGUGCCCUGACCACGGCGACACUGGUCUCCAAGGCCCAGUCACUUCCCACAGGCAUGUAAUUUGGCCCGAUUUACCGGGAAGUCGCAUAAACACGAGCCACUUGCGUUUCUUCCAGUAGCUGCCCUGGGCUCCGCGGGGCCCCCUCUCUCUUUCCUGCUGGGGAGCAACGGCUUGGUUUGGCUCCGGAAUUUUCGAUGACUACCACAGCCUCAUUCCGUGAGGGGACACGAAGCAGACUGGGCUGUGGUUGCAGGCCCCCAGGACGGCGAGGACCCCUGCGCCUCCGAGGCGCUGUGUUGCAGGUCUCUGGCAAGGGAGGCUCUGGGCUGCAUCCGAGAACAGCUGGAGUCCUCCGCGGAGCUUCCCCGCACGCCGGCCUCCCGCCAGCUUCCCCAGCGCCUUGCCGCAAGGCUGAGCUCCAGGGAAGGAUAACUCCUGGAGGCAGGCGCUCAUAUCAUCUGAAGCAGGGAGUAGCCAAGCAACUGGCCAAGGUCACAGAGCAAAAUGUGGCAGAACCGACACUUGUGGCCUCCAGCCUUUCAUCUCAGGAGUCUGCAGCUUCGGCUCUCAUCCUCUUGGACCACUGAGACCUCCACGCGGUGAAGAGGCCUGAUCUAGUCCCAUUGAGAAUAGAAGAAUAUGGGGAGAGGGAGGCCAGCCAACCCACAGAUGAAUGAAGCCACAGUGAGCUCUGGAAAGACCAGAAGAACCAUCCAGUGAACCUAUAGAAUAAUGAGAGACAAUAAAUUGUUACUGUUUUUAAGUCACUAGUUUUGGGGUAGUUUUUGAAAUAAAAAAGAUUUUAUUUUAUUGACUUGAAAGGCAGAUUAUGGGGGCAGGAGGGGCAGAAAGAGAGAGAGAGAGUGUGUGUGUGAGAGGGUUUUUCUAACCAUUGGAUCACUCCUCAAAUGGCUGCAAUGGUCAGGGCUGGGCCAGUAUGAAGCCAGGGGCCAGGAACUCCAUCCAGGUCUCUCACAUGGCUGGCAGGGGUGCAAGCACUUGGUCCAUCUCCCACUACUUUCCCAGGUGCAUUAGCAGAGAGCUGGAGCAGAAGUGGAGCACCUGGAACUCGAACUGGUGCUCAUAUGGGACACUAGUGUUACAGGUGGUGGCCUAGGUAAUUCAUUCAUGAAGAUAAUGUCAUUGAGUUAUUCCGUAACCUCGUGCAUCAGUCAUAGUUCUUGAUUUCAAGGAAAGAGAAAGUCUGAUGGUCAUUUAUCUAAAGGACAUUAUAUCUUCAGAAAGGCUGACAUACCGCAAUCAGAGCUGCAGUCAGAAAUGUUGCUAGUCGGUCACCAACAGUGUCCCUCCAUGGCUGUGCCAGAAGUUCAGUGGUGUUCAGUUGGGAUGCCAGAGCUGCGGGCUGCCCACCCACGUUUCUUGGCAUGACUAGCUCCUGAUUCAAAACUACCACAGUAAGUGCUUCUGCCUGGACAACCUUGGGUCCUGUGUCCUCAUCCUGGCUACACAAGGGAAUUUGGGAAAGCAAACACCUGUCAUUUCAAGCUCAUAGCAUUAUCACAUGCCAUGCAGGCCUGUGCAAUGGCUUGGAUGUGUCCCUCAAUUCACAGGACAGCAGUGCUGAGAGAUGGGACCAUUGAGAGGUGACUUGGUCAUGAAGGCUCUUCCCUCCUGAAUGGGUUAAUAUUGUGAUUGCAGGAGUGGGUUUGUCACCACGUGCUGCUUUCCACCAUGUUAGGAUACUGCAAGAAGGCCCUAACGGACGUGGCCCCUGGAUUUGGACUUCCCAGCCUCCAGAACCAUGAACUCCAAAGCAUCUCUGGUUCAUGGAUUAGUCAGUCUGUAGUAUUAUGUUACUGCAGCAGAAAAUAGAUUAAGGCAAGGAGGAUGUGAGCCAAAAAGAGAACGAUGAGCGUCCUCUACGGCCCCUCCUCUUCCAGACUGAAGUUAAUGUACACUCUUCUUCCCAUAUUCAAAUUAUGCAAAGAAAAAGGCCCUUCCUGGUAGAAUUCUCUUAUCUCUUGCCUAACAAAGAACAGCUUAUCUCCUCCACAAAUUCUCCUCAGCUACAGCAUCCAGCUUCAAGUUUAGAAUCUGUGGUUGAUAUCUAUCUCUCCUCUAACCCUGUUAGGAAUUUACAUUGGUAUUCUGUAAUUUGUAGAAUAAAUUGUGGACCAAAACAUGAUGAACAUACCCUAUAUGAAAAAGUAUGAGAGGGGGCUGGCACUGUGGCAUAGCAGGUAAAGCUGCCGCCUGUAGUGCUGGCAUCUCCUAUGGGUGCCAGUUCGAGUCCCAGCUGCUCAACUUCUGAUCCAGCUCUCUGCUGUGGCCUGGGAAGGCAGUAGAAGAUGGCCCAAAUCUUUGGACCCCUGCACCCAUGUGGGAGACCCAGAAGAAGCUCCUGGCUCUUGGCUACAGAUUGGUGAAGCUCCAGCCGUUGCAGCCAACUGGGGAGUGAACCAGUGGAUGGAAGAUCUCUCUCUCUCUCUCUGCCUCUCCUCUCUCUGUGUAACUCUGACUUUCAAACAAAUAAAUAUAUCUUUUUUUAAAAACAGUGUGAGAAAGGGGAGUAACAUCUGUUCAUAUAUAUAUAUAUAUAUAUAUAUAAAAUCUAUGUAGAGUUUUUAAAUAACAUGCAUUUUUCAUGAAUUUUUUGAAGAUCUUAUGCCUGUAUGCAAUUCAGCAUUUUUGGCAGCAAAAUAAAUUUGUCUUUUAAUUCCAUUUUUCACUGUUUUUGAAGUAUUCUUGUAUCACAUGGAAGGUAGUACAAAGGGACUCCUGCCCAUGUUUUCACUAGUUGAACUAUAGAUAUUGUGACUCUGCAGUUGGUACUUAAGAUUUCCUUCUCCAUUAACUUGUCCAUGUUUCCUUUGUUUGCAACCAGUGCUCAGUCAGUCCAGGUUGUUAUAACUGAUGGGUGGCAUAAACAUUCUGUUUUGAGGGAUUUGAUAUCUUAGUUGUUUUAUCUGUGUGGAGUUGCAAUGGUUUCUCAUCGAUUUAUUACUAGUGGAAAUGAAAGUAUUAUAAAUUACGCUAGGGGACCCCUUGUGUUUAAUCCAUACUCUUUUGUGAUCCCAAUGUAUUGUAGCAGUCUUAUUUCCCCUUCAUGAUGCAGAGUAAUUACUCCAGCUGUUGAUCUAUUACCUAUCUAUUAUUUAUUUACCUACCUAUCCAUCUACCUACCUAUAUCCAUUUUUGUCUGUUUAUUCAAGUGGGAAGAGGCGCCACAAAUACUUAGUUUAUUCAAUGAAAUAACCUUUAUGUUUCCUAUUAGAAGCAUUCUUCUCUGGAUGCUAAAAUGUCUAAAUCCAUGAUGCCCAGAGUAUAAAUAUUGGACACACAAACUUGACUAACACAUCAUUUAGUGUAAUAAUGAGAAGUGCCAUUACCACUCUGCUUUUUGGUUUCUGUACACAUGAUUUCUGGCUCUGUAAGACAGUAUUCCUGAUGGCCCAAAGAAUAUGCAAUUCUGCAAGACAGUAUCUCAGCCAUAGAAAUAAGUCAAAUGAGGAGAAGCAACACAUUAAAAUUAAGGCACGAGGCUGACGCUGUGGCACAGUGGGUAAAGCCACUGGCAUCCCAUAUGGGCACCGGCUUGAGUCCUGACUGUUCCACUUCUGAUCCAGCUCUCUGCUAUGGCCUAGGAAAGCAGUAGAAGAUGGCUCAGGUCCUUGGACCCCUGCACCCAUGUGGGAGACCUGGAAGAAGCUCCUGGCUCCUGGCUUCGGAUUGGCACAGCUCUGACCCAUUGCGGCCAUCUGGGGAGUGAACCAGUGGAUGGAAGACCUCUCUCUCUCACUCUCUCUCUCUUUCUCUCUCUGACUCCGCCUCUCUGUAACUCUGCCUUCAAAUAAAUAAAUCAAAAACAAAAAAGAAUUAAGGCACCCUGGGAAUAUAUGCUCAUGAAAGUUACUUGUAUGAUUAAGACUUUGUUGAGCAUUGUCCUGCUUGUAUUACAUCCAUAGAAA